rnacentral:rRNA from 1 species
UACGAGGGGGGCAAGCGUUUGUUCGGAAUUAUUGGGCGUAAAGGGUGCGUAGGCGGUCUGAUAAGUCAUCUGUGAAAUCUAUGGGCUCAACCCAUAGUCUGCAGGCGAAACUGUCGGGCUUGAGUAUGGGAGAGGUGAGUGGAAUUUCCGGUGUAGCGGUGAAAUGCGUAGAUAUCGGAAGGAACACCUGUGGCGAAAGCGGCUCACUGGACCAUUACUGACGCUGAUGCACGAAAGCUAGGGGAGCAAACAGG